rnacentral:rRNA from 1 species
GACGAACGCUGGCGGCGUGCCUAAUACAUGCAAGUAGAACGCUGAAGGAGGAGCUUGCUCUUCUGGAUGAGUUGCGAACGGGUGAGUAACGCGUAGGUAACCUGCCUGGUAGCGGGGGAUAACUAUUGGAAACGAUAGCUAAUACCGCAUAAGAGUAGCUGUUGCAUGACAUUUACUUAAAAGUUGCAAUUGCAUCACUACCAGAUGGACCUGCGUUGUAUUGGCUAGUUGGUGGGGUAACGGCUUACCAAGGCGACGAUACAUAGCCGACCUGAGAGGGUGGUCGGCCAAACUGGGACGGAGACACGGCACAGACUCAUACGGGAGGCAGCAGUAGGGAAUCGUCGGCAAGGGACGGAAGUCUGACCGAGAAAGGCGGCGUGAGGGAAGAAGGUUGUCGGAUCGUAAAGAUCGGUUGUAAGAGAAGAAAGAGGGUGAGAGUGGAAAGUUCACACUGUGACGGUAUCUGACCAGAAAGGGACGGCUAACUACGUG